rnacentral:rRNA from 1 species
AUACUCUCUAGUGACCGAUAGUGAACCAGUACCGUGAGGGAAAGGUGAAAAGCACCCCGGAAGGGGAGUGAAAUAGAACCUGAAACCGUGUGCUUACAAGUAGUCAGAGCCCGUUAAUGGGUGAUGGCGUGCCUUUUGUAGAAUGAACCGGCGAGUUACGAUUUGAUGCAAGGUUAAGCAGUAAAUGUGGAGCCGUAGCGAAAGCGAGUCUGAAUAGGGCGUUUAGUAUUUGGUCGUAGACCCGAAACCAGGUGAUCUACCCUUGGUCAGGUUGAAGUUCAGGUAACACUGAAUGGAGGACCGAACCGACUUACGUUGAAAAGUGAGCGGAUGAACUGAGGGUAGCGGAGAAAUUCCAAUCGAACCUGGAGAUAGCUGGUUCUCUCCGAAAUAGCUUUAGGGCUAGCCUCAAGUGAUGAUUAUUGGAGGUAGAGCACUGUUUGGACGAGGGGCCCCUCUCGGGUUACCGAAUUCAGACAAACUCCGAAUGCCAAUUAAUUUAACUUGGGAGUCAGAACAUGGGUGAUAAGGUCCGUGUUCGAAAGGGAAACAGCCCAGACCACCAGCUAAGGUCCCAAAAUAUAUGUUAAGUGGAAAAGGAUGUGGCGUUGCCCAGACAACUAGGAUGUUGGCUUAGAAGCAGCCAUCAUUUAAAGAGUGCGUAAUAGCUCACUAGUCGAGUGACACUGCGCCGAAAAUGUACCGGGGCUAAACAUAUUACCGAAGCUGUGGAUUGUCCUUUGGACAAUGGUAGGAGAGCGUUCUAAGGGCGUUGAAGCAUGAUCGUAAGGACAUGUGGAGCGCUUAGAAGUGAGAAUGCCGGUGUGAGUAGCGAAAGACGGGUGAGAAUCCCGUCCACCGAUUGACUAAGGUUUCCAGAGGAAGGCUCGUCCGCUCUGGGUUAGUCGGGUCCUAAGCUGAGGCCGACAGGCGUAGGCGAUGGAUAACAGGUUGAUAUUCCUGUACCACCUAUAAUCGUUUUAAUCGAUGGGGGGACGCAGUAGGAUAGGCGAAGCGUGCGAUUGGAUUGCACGUCUAAGCAGUAAGGCUGAGUAUUAGGCAAAUCCGGUACUCGUUAAGGCUGAGCUGUGAUGGGGAGAAGACAUUGUGUCUUCGAGUCGUUGAUUUCACACUGCCGAGAAAAGCCUCUAGAUAGAAAAUAGGUGCCCGUACCGCAAACCGACACAGGUAGUCAAGAUGAGAAUUCUAAGGUGAGCGAGCGAACUCUCGUUAAGGAACUCGGCAAAAUGACCCCGUAACUUCGGGAGAAGGGGUGCUCUUUAGGGUUAACGCCCAGAAGAGCCGCAGUGAAUAGGCCCAAGCGACUGUUUAUCAAAAACACAGGUCUCUGCUAAACCGUAAGGUGAUGUAUAGGGGCUGACGCCUGCCCGGUGCUGGAAGGUUAAGAGGAGUGGUUAGCUUCUGCGAAGCUACGAAUCGAAGCCCCAGUAAACGGCGGCCGUAACUAUAACGGUCCUAAGGUAGCGAAAUUCCUUGUCGGGUAAGUUCCGACCCGCACGAAAGGCGUAACGAUUUGGGCACUGUCUCAACGAGAGACUCGGUGAAAUCAUAGUACCUGUGAAGAUGCAGGUUACCCGCGACAGGACGGAAAGACCCCGUGGAGCUUUACUGUAGCCUGAUAUUGAAAUUCGGCACAGCUUGUACAGGAUAGGUAGGAGCCUUUGAAACGUGAGCGCUAGCUUACGUGGAGGCGCUGGUGGGAUACUACCCUAGCUGUGUUGGCUUUCUAACCCGCACCACUUAUCGUGGUGGGAGACAGUGUCAGGCGGGCAGUUUGACUGGGGCGGUCGCCUCCUAAAAGGUAACGGAGGCGCUCAAAGGUUCCCUCAGAAUGGUUGGAAAUCAUUCAUAGAGUGUAAAGGCAUAAGGGAGCUUGACUGCGAGACCUACAAGUCGAGCAGGGUCGAAAGACGGACUUAGUGAUCCGGUGGUUCCGCAUGGAAGGGCCAUCGCUCAACGGAUAAAAGCUACCCCGGGGAUAACAGGCUUAUCUCCCCCAAGAGUUCACAUCGACGGGGAGGUUUGGCACCUCGAUGUCGGCUCAUCGCAUCCUGGGGCUGUAGUCGGUCCCAAGGGUUGGGCUGUUCGCCCAUUAAAGCGGUACGCGAGCUGGGUUCAGAACGUCGUGAGACAGUUCGGUCCCUAUCCGUCGUGGGCGUAGGAAAUUUGAGAGGAGCUGUCCUUAGUACGAGAGGACCGGGAUGGACAUACCUCUGGUGUACCAGUUGUCGUGCCAACGGCAUAGCUGGGUAGCUAUGUGUGGACGGGAUAAGUGCUGAAAGCAUCUAAGCAUGAAGCCCCCCUCAAGAUGAGAUUUCCCAACUUCGGUUAUAAGAUCCCUCAAAGAUGAUGAGGUUAAUAGGUUCGAGGUGGAAGCAUGGUGACAUGUGGAGCUGACGAAUACUAAUCGAUCGAAGACUUAAUCAA